UUACGGCCACAUCACGUUGAAACACCGGUUUCCCUUCGAUCAAUAAAGUUAAGCAACGUCGAGCCUAGUCAGUACUCAAAUAUUUGACCGCUUGGGAAUACAAGGUGCUGGAUG